AUUGAACGCUGGCGGCAGGCUUAACACAUGCAAGUCGAACGAGUGGCGGACGGGUGAGUAAUGCCUGGGAAUCUAGCUUAUGGAGGGGGAUAACUACGGGAAACUGUAGCUAAUACCGCGUACCAUAAGAUGAGCCCAAGUGGGAUUAGGUAGUUGGUGGGGUAACGGCUCACCAAGCCGACGAUCCCUAGCUGGUCUGCGAGGAUGACCAGCCACACUGGUACUGAGACACGGCCCAGACUCCUACGGGAGGCAGCAGUGGGGAAUAUUGCGCAAUGGGGGCAACCUGAUGCAGCCAUGCCGCGUGAAUGAAGAAGGCCUUCGGGUUGUAAAGUUCUUUCGGUAGCGAGGCGUUAACCACAGAAGAAGCACCGGCUAACUCCGUGCCAGCAGCCGCGGUAAUUC
rnacentral:rRNA from 1 species